rnacentral:tRNA from 1 species
GGGGCCGUAGCUCAGCUGGGAGAGCGCGUGAAUGGCAUUCACGAGGUCGCCGGUUCGAUCCCGGUCGGCUCCACCA